CCCUUAGAUGUCCUGGGCCGCACGCGCGCUACACUGACGGAGCCAGCGAGCUUACCCCUUUGCCGAAAGGCAUGGGAAAUCUUUUGAAUCUCCGUCGUGCUGGGGAUAGAUCAUUGCAAUUAUUGAUCUUGAACGAGGAAUUCCUAGUAAGCGCAAGUCAUCAACUUGUGUUGAUUACGUCCCUGCCCUUUGUACACACCGCCCGUCGCUCCUACCGAUUGAAUGUUCCGGUGAGCUCUUCGGACUGCGCGGUCUGCAGUUUCUGCGUUCCGUGCGGAAAGUUGCGCAAACCUUAACAUUUAGAGGAAGGAGAAGUCGUAACA
rnacentral:rRNA from 1 species